rnacentral:rRNA from 1 species
AACGAACGCUGGCGGCAUGCCUAACACAUGCAAGUCGAACGAUGCUUUCGGGCAUAGUGGCGCACGGGUGCGUAACGCGUGGGAAUCUGCCCUUGGGUUCGGAAUAACAGUGAGAAAUUGCUGCUAAUACCGGAUGAUGUCUUCGGACCAAAGAUUUAUCGCCCAGGGAUGAGCCCGCGUAGGAUUAGCUAGUUGGUGGGGUAAUGGCCUACCAAGGCGACGAUCCUUAGCUGGUCUGAGAGGAUGAUCAGCCACACUGGGACUGAGACACGGCCCAGACUCCUACGGGAGGCAGCAGUGGGGAAUAUUGAACAAUGGGCGCAAGCCUGAUCCAGCAAUGCCGCGUGAGUGAUGAAGGCCUUAGGGUUGUAAAGCUCUUUUACCCGGGAUGAUAAUGACAGUACCGGGAGAAUAAGCUCCGGCUAACUCCGUG